rnacentral:rRNA from 1 species
GCAUGUCUAAGUAUAAGCAAUUAUACCGCGAAACUGCGAAUGGCUCAUUAUAUAAGUUAUCGUUUAUUUGAUAAUACUUUACUACUUGGAUAACCGUGGUAAUUCUAGAGCUAAUACAUGCUGAAAAUCCCGACUUCGGAAGGGAUGUAUUUAUUAGAUUAAAAACCAAUGCCCCUCGGGGCUCUCUGGUGAAUCAUGAUAACUAGUCGAAUCGACAGGCCUUGUGCCGGCGAUGGCUCAUUCAAAUUUCUUCCCUAUCAACUUUCGAUGUUUGGGUAUUGGCCAAACAUGGUGGCAACGGGUAACGGAGGGUUAGGGCUCGACCCCGGAGAAGGAGCCUGAGAAACGGCUACUACAUCCAAGGAAGGCAGCAGGCGCGCAAAUUACCCAAUCCCGACACGGGGAGGUAGUGACAAUAAAUACUGAUACAGGGCUCUUUUGGGUCUUGUAAUCGGAAUGAGUACAAUUUAAAUCCCUUAACGAGGAACAAUUGGAGGGCAAGUCUGGUGCCAGCAGCCGCGGUAAUUCCAGCUCCAAUAGCGUAUAUUAAAGUUGUUGUGGUUAAAAAGCUCGUAGUUGAACCUUGGGCCUGGCUGGCCGGUCCGCCUCACCGCGUGCACUGGUCCGGCCGGGCCUUUCCCUCUGCGGAACCCCAUGCCCUUCACUGGGUGUGGCGGGGAAACAGGACUUUUACUUUGAAAAAAUUAGAGUGCUCAAGGCAGGCCUAUGCUCGAAUACAUUAGCAUGGAAUAAUAGAAUAGGACGUGUGGUUCUAUUUUGUUGGUUUCUAGGACCGCCGUAAUGAUUAAUAGGGACAGUCGGGGGCAUCAGUAUUCAAUUGUCAGAGGUGAAAUUCUUGGAUUUAUUGAAGACUAACUACUGCGAAAGCAUUUGCCAAGGAUGUUUUCAUUAAUCAGGAACGAAAGUUAGGGGAUCGAAGACGAUCAGAUACCGUCGUAGUCUUAACCAUAAACUAUGCCGACUAGGGAUCGGACGAUGUUACAUUUUUGACGCGUUCGGCACCUUACGAGAAAUCAAAGUGCUUGGGCUCCAGGGNNAGUNUGGNCGC